GGCGCCUCCACCAAAAUAUAAAAAAUAAAGAUUAUAUUUUUAUGGGGGCGAAACAGGAUCGACAAGGGUGUAAAGGUUGCUCUUUUACUCGGCAUUGUACCACCGUUAUCGGACUAAAUGAGUAGUUGCAAAUGACAACUAUGCGGAAGCCCGUCUCAUCGCUGCUUAAGCGAUGCGAAAGCUUCAAACUAAGUCUUAAACCGUCGCAGGUCUAAGCGGGGUUCGAAGGCACCUGG
rnacentral:tmRNA from 1 species